AUUGAACGCUGGCGGCAUGCCUUACACAUGCAAGUCGAACGGUAACGCGGGGCAACCUGGCGACGAGUGGCGAACGGGUGAGUAAAGUAUCGGAACGUGCCCAAUAGUGGGGGAUAGCCCGGCGAAAGCCGGAUUAAUACCGCAUGAGACCUGAGGGUGAAAGCGGGGGACUCGCAAGAGCCUCGCGCUGUUGGAGCGGCCGAUAUCAGAUUAGGUAGUUGGUGGGGUAAAGGCCUACCAAGCCGACGAUCUGUAGCUGGUCUGAGAGGACGACCAGCCACACUGGGACUGAGACACGGCCCAGACUCCUACGGGAGGCAGCAGUGGGGAAUUUUGGACAAUGGGCGCAAGCCUGAUCCAGCCAUGCCGCGU
rnacentral:rRNA from 1 species